AUUGAACGCUGGCGGCAGGCCUAACACAUGCAAGUCGAGCGGAUGAAGGGAGCUUGCUCCUGGAUUCAGCGGCGGACGGGUGAGUAAUGCCUAGGAAUCUGCCUGGUAGUGGGGGAUAACGUCCGGAAACGGGCGCUAAUACCGCAUACGUCCUGAGGGAGAAAGUGGGGGAUCUUCGGACCUCACGCUAUCAGAUGAGCCUAGGUCGGAUUAGCUAGUUGGUGGGGUAAAGGCCUACCAAGGCGACGAUCCGUAACUGGUCUGAGAGGAUGAUCAGUCACACUGACAGUGAGACGCUCUCCAGACUUAUACGAGAGGCAGGUGUGGGAUAUUGUGGACUGUGCGCGAAAGUCUUCUCCCGACGUGGCGUGUGUGUAGAGGAUCUCUUGGGUGUAUAAAACUCUUUGUGUUGAGAAAGAGGGCAAUGAGUAUAUCUCUCGGUGUUGUCACGUCCACCACAGAAAGCGCAGGGGAUCUCCGUG
rnacentral:rRNA from 1 species